AUUGAACGCUGGCGGCAGGCCUAACACAUGCAAGUCGAACGGUAGCACAGAGAGCUUGCUCUCGGGUGACGAGUGGCGGACGGGUGAGUAAUGUCUGGGAAACUGCCCGAUGGAGGGGGAUAACUACUGGAAACGGUAGCUAAUACCGCAUAACGUCGCAAGACCAAAGUGGGGGACCUUCGGGCCUCACACCAUCGGAUGUGCCCAGAUGGGAUUAGCUAGUAGGUGGGGUAAUGGCUCACCUAGGCGACGAUCCCUAGCUGGGCUGAGAGGAUGACCAGCCACUCUGGAACUGAGACACGGUCCAGACUCCUACGGGAGGCAGCAGUGGGGAAUAUUGCACAAUGGGCGCAAGCCUGAUGCAGCCAUGCCGCGUGUAUGAAGAAGGCCUUCGGGUUGUAAAGUACUUUCAGCGGGGAGGAAGGCGGUGAAGUUAAUAACUUCACCGAUUGACGUUACCCGCAGAAGAAGCACCGGCUAACUCCGUGCCAGCCGCCGCCGUAA
rnacentral:rRNA from 1 species